GACGAACGCUGGCGGCGUGCCUAAUACAUGCAAGUAGAACGCUGAAGCGAGGAGCUUGCUCUUCUUGGAUGAGUUGCGAACGGGUGAGUAACGCGUAGGUAACCUGCCUUGUAGCGGGGGAUAACUAUUGGAAACGAUAGCUAAUACCGCAUAACAAUGGAUGACACAUGUCAUUUAUUUGAAAGGGGCAAUUGCUCCACUACAAGAUGGACCUGCGUUGUAUUAGCUAGUAGGUGAGGUGAUGGCUCACCUAGGCGACGAUACAUAGCCGACCUGAGAGGGUGAUCGGCCACACUGGGACUGAGACACGGCCCAGACUCCUACGGGAGGCAGCAGUAGGGAAUCUUCGGCAAUGGGGGCAACCCUGACCGAGCAACGCCGCGGGAGGGAAGAAGGGUUUCGGAUCGUAAAGCUCUGUUGUAAGUCAAGAACGGGUGUGAGAGUGGAAAGUUCACACUGUGACGGUAGCUUAACAGAAAGGGACGGCUAACUACGUG
rnacentral:rRNA from 1 species